rnacentral:rRNA from 1 species
AGCAGUCGCGCUAUGACCGCGGUUAUACAACUGCCAUGCCGCGUGUGUGAAGAACGCCUUCGGAUUGCAAAGCUCUUUAAGUUGGGACGAAAGGUUGUUGAUUAAUACUCUGCAGUUUUGACGUUACCGACACAAUAAGCCCCGGCUAACUAUGUGCCAGCAGCCGCGGUAAUACA